CUCUUUGUCUGUUGCUUCAUGAGUUAAAUGAGUUCAGGAAAGGAGAGUUCAAGAAGAGACGACAAACAGAGGCGUUAAUCCCCAUGUCUGAUUAAAAAGGCGUAAAAAGGGAAUGAAGAGCAGAAGGGCGGAAGAGGCAGAGCCGCCUGAGUUCUGCCACCCGAGCUGUGGAUCUCUGCAGCUCCUCCAAGAACCGACACCAACAGCUGCAACUGAAGAUCCUCGGCACCCCCGACCAGAUUAAUUACCAGGCUGAUUCUCUCCUCCUGCUCUCACUGAUCACUCCGCUAGAACCUCUCAGUAGGU